rnacentral:misc_RNA from 1 species
UUUCCGUAGGUGAACCUGCGGAAGGAUCAUUAUUGAAUGAAACACUUCUGGCUUUAUGCUGUUGUGCUGGCCCUUUGGGCAAUGUGCACACGGCUCUGGUCACUUGUUUCUUCUGUUCCACCUGUGCACUGCCUGUAGACACGCUGUGUCUAUGAUAUUUGUUAACACACAACAAUGUUAGUUGGCAUGUUAUAUAUAAUAAUAAAAUAUACAACUUUCAACAACGGAUCUCUUGGCUCUCGCAUCGCUGAACCACGCAGC